rnacentral:rRNA from 1 species
CACGUAGUUAGCCGGUGCUUUUCUCCAGGUACCGUCACCCGAAAGCUUCUUCCCUGACAAAAGAGGUUUACAACCCGAAGGCCGUCAUCCCUCACGCGGCGUUGCUGCAUCAGGCUUGCGCCCAUUGUGCAAUAUUCCCCACUGCUGCCUCCCGUAGGAGUCUGGGCCGUGUCUCAGUCCCAGUGUGGCCGGUCACCCUCUCAGGCCGGCUACCCGUCGUCGCCUUGGUAAGCCAUUACCCCACCAACAAGCUGAUAGGCCGUGAGUCCAUCCACCACCGAUAAAUCUUUCCACCCACACACCAUGCGGUGAUAGGUCAUAUCCAGUAUUAGACACCGUUUCCAGCGCUUAUCCCAGAGUGAUGGGCAGGUUACUCACGUAUUACUCACCCGUUCGCCACUAAUCCACCCCAGCAAGCUAAGGCUUCAUCGUUCGACUUGCAUGUGUUAAGCACGCCGCCAGCGUCGUCCUCGUGCCACGGAGUCAACUACUCUACGUAGACGUAC